rnacentral:rRNA from 1 species
GAAUCUUCCACAAUGGACGAAAGUAUGCUGGAGCAAUGCCGCGAGAGUGAAGAAGGUUUUCGGAUCGUACAUCUCUGUUGUGUGGGAAGAACAAGUAUGAGAGUUACUGCUCGUACCUUGACGGUACCUAAUUAGAAAGCAACGGCUAAUUACGUGCCAGCAACCGCGGUAAUACGUAGGUGGCAAGCGUUGUCCGGAAUGAUUGGGCGUAAGGCGCGCACAGGCGGUCCUUUAAGACUGAUGUGAAAUCCCACGGCUCAACCGAGGAAGGGCAUUAGAAACUGGGGGACUUGAGUACAGAAGAGGAAAGCAGAAUUCCAAGUGUAGCUGUGAAAUGCGUAGAGAUUUGGAGGAACACCAGUGGCGAGGGCGUCUUUCUGGUCUGUAACUGACGCUGGGGCGCGAAAGCGUGGGUAGCAAACA